rnacentral:rRNA from 1 species
CGAGUCUUAACCGGGCGUUAAGUUGCAGGGUAUAGACCCGAAACCCGGUGAUCUAGCCAUGGGCAGGUUGAAGGUUGGGUAACACUAACUGGAGGACCGAACCGACUAAUGUUGAAAAAUUAGCGGAUGACCUGUGGCUGGGGGUGAAAGGCCAAUCAAACCGGGAGAUAGCUGGUUCUCCCCGAAAGCUAUUUAGGUAGCGCCUCGUGAAUUCAUCUCCGGGGGUAGAGCACUGUUUCGGCUAGGGGGCCAUCCCGGCUUACCAACCCGAUGCAAACUGCGAAUACCGGAGAAUGUUAUCACGGGAGACACACGGCGGGUGCUAACGUCCGUCGUGAAGAGGGAAACAACCCAGACCGCCAGCUAAGGUCCCAAAGUCAUGGUUAAGUGGGAAACGAUGUGGGAAGGCCCAGACAGCCAGGAUGUUGGCUUAGAAGCAGCCAUCAUUUAAAGAAAGCGUAAUAGCUCACUGGUCGAGUCGGCCUGCGCGGAAGAUGUAACGGGGCUAAACCAUGCACCGAAGCUGCGGCAGCGACGCUGAUGCGUUGUUGGGUAGGGGAGCGUUCUGUAAGCCUGUGAAGGUGGCCUGUGAGGGUUGCUGGAGGUAUCAGAAGUGCGAAUGCUGACAUAAGUAACGAUAAAGCGGGUGAAAAGCCCGCUCGCCGGAAGACCAAGGGUUCCUGUCCAACGUUAAUCGGGGCAGGGUGAGUCGACCCCUAAGGCGAGGCCGAAAGGCGUAGUCGAUGGGAAACGGGUUAAUAUUCCCGUACUUGGUGUUACUGCGAAGGGGGGACGGAGAAGGCUAUGUUGGCCGGGCGACGGUUGUCCCGGUUUAAGCGUGUAGGUGUGUGUUCCAGGUAAAUCCGGUUCACUUUAACACUGAGGCGUGAUGACGAGGCACUACGGUGCUGAAGCAACAAAUGCCCUGCUUCCAGGAAAAGCCUCUAAGCAUCAGGUAACAUCAAAUCGUACCCCAAACCGACACAGGUGGUCAGGUAGAGAAUACCAAGGCGCUUGAGAGAACUCGGGUGAAGGAACUAGGCAAAAUGGUGCCGUAACUUCGGGAGAAGGCACGCUGACACGUAGGUGAAGUGAUUUACUCAUGG